rnacentral:lncRNA from 1 species
AUGACACAUUUUCUCAUAAAAUUGCAGAUCCAUAUUUCACUUUCAAGAAUAGACACACUAUUUCCUUUUGGCGUAGACAAAGGCUCUUCCAGUGUGAAUACUGCAAGAUUAGAAGAUUUCAUCAAAUGUCAGUCACUUCAUAUCACUGGCCUUACCAUAGCCCUUUGGAGUGUUAUAAGACUUUUCUUAUUUUUUUCAUGGAACUACACCAGGAAUUACACUAGGAAUUAUGUCAGCCCUGCAGCAAUUUUCAAGAAGCCACAAGUCCAUGAUCCUGAAACUUUGACUGCUGACAAGAAGUUGCUUAGAGCAGCAGUGUUAUUAACAAGCCACCUUUCCCACACCCCAUCUGCACUGGAAGCCAUCCCCAGCUCAUCACCUCCAUCUGUCUCUCUGUACGACGGGGCGUGCGCACCAGCAGGCUCCGCCACAAGGUUCAGUUUGCUGCUGAGUUACUCAUCAAACAGUGUGCGCUGCAUGGACUCCUCGCUCUCAGGAUUGCAGGCUGCAGGCAGCCAGUCUGUGAGUCUGACAGAAGAGUACUUGCUUACUUUCUUUUAUAAUGAAGGCUCUUUAGGCAGGAAUGUUGAUGCCUUUAGGAAUGAAAGUAUUUUACGUAUGUGCCGUGAGAGAUCCAUUUGGUGCUGUGGGCAUCUCCUGAGACUUAUUACCACCUCUUAGCGGGGUGGGAUCCCUUGAUUGGAUGCCUUCCAGGACUUUGUUCUCUGCACAGUGUCCUCUGAAGACUACCAGCCCUGGAUUCUUCUUCCACCUUUUAAAAGGCCUCUGAGAACUCAUAAAUUCAGUGCUUCUGGAUUAAAGCACAGGAUAUACAUGUGCCUACUAUUUAGUUACCCUCUGGUCUUUUCCUGGAAAAAGACUCUACUUUCACUCUUGCUGCUGGUUAUCAAGUGGUGAGCAAAUG